rnacentral:lncRNA from 1 species
AAGAAAAUAAUAUCCAUAAAGCAAAUACUCUAAACCAAGUGCAUAAGUUUAGUAUAUUUCAAGAGAGUAAGUAAGAUCCAAAAAUGUUGAUAACAAAAGAUUCCUAGAACAUUCAUCUAUAACAAUUCAAAAUUCUAUCUCAAGUUGAUAUUUUUCAUCUAUUUCUUGAUCUUCUCCACCUACAAAAUAGGAUAAAUAAUGUUAUCAAUAGUUAGACAACAGAAGAAGAAACUUACAAAUUUAAUAGAACCAAAAUUAUGGAGGGAUCACGAGGGUGGCGCAUGAUAUCAAGGCCAACAACAGGCAGACGAACCCAAAUCUUACCUUCUGGAAAAAGAAAAUCAACUGUGCAUAAAGAUUCAAACUCUUUGGCUUUAAAGGUAAUGCCUUUUAGUUUAACCUCAAAUUUAUUAGUUCUCAAAUAUAUAUUACCAGCCAUAGGUUUGUUUGUUGAAUGAGAUGAUCCUAAUAUUGUUAGUUUAGUAUAAAUAGAUGGAGAAAAGAUUAGCAAAAUGAUGAGUGUCCCAUAACAGAUGCUAGAGAAAUGAACAACUCCCCAAUGAAAAUAAGAUUUGACGCAAUAUUGCAGGGAAACAAGACAAAAUACUAGCAAGAUGCACAUGAAAAUGUCAUCAAAAUGAUAUUCAAAACUACAGAAGAAUACCAGGGAUAAAAGGAAGGAAGAUUAGUGGAUUAACAUUAAAAUUAGAUGGUUCUGCAAAAAAUUAUGACACUUGUUGGGCAAGCCUUUUGUUUGUUAGCUAUGGAUACUUUAUAUCCGCUGACUCCUAGACUUCACCAAGAAAGUGAUUGAAUCUACAGCUGAAGCAUUUUGCAUCUAUCCAGAACUUGACCAUUUUGCAUCUUCUCUAAAUGCGUCACUACUGUUUUCCAUGUGCAUUAUUUUACUUGUUUUUCUUAAUUCGUUUGGCCCUAGAUGAAGAUAGUUAAAUUUUACUUCGUAGUUUGGUUCUCCUAAAGCUAAAUAUGACAAUAAUAGUAAUGUUUCUUCUUGUCACGACCUCAGUUCACCUUCCAUGAAUAUGUCGUGAUGGCACAUAAUUCCUACAACUAGGUAAGCCUAACAACGCGAAAAUUAAUAUAACUUGCAAAAAUAUUUAAUUAAAUUAAGCAAAACUAGGAGAAAAACGGUAUAUAAGUGCCACUUGGCAUAUAUAACUCAAAAAUAAAUACGGAAGUCUACAAUUAAAUCCUAAAAACCCAGAAACUCACGGAAACCACAAGCUAAAAGAAAUACUGUAAAUGCUCUAAUCUUCAGAAUGUCUACAUCAAAAGUAUGAUAGGAUAUAAACACUACAGAUAGAAUAAGGAAGGAAACUCUUUGGUCUACGGAUGCUGCAGAUAUACCUCAAGUCUCCACUAGAUCUCUCUGUCUCGAUGAUAGUGCGCCAGAGAUGAAGUACCUGGAUUUGCACAUGAAAAACAUGCACAUGAGAGGCAUGAGUACACCACAGCGGUACUCAGUAAGUGCCAAGCCUAACCCCGGUUGGGUAGUAACGAGGAAGGUCAGGGCCCGCCUGAGAUAAACAUAGUAUAUGAUAAGAUAAGGAAAACAAUAUAGAUAAGGUCUACAACGAGAAUCUGAACAGGAUAAAUAAGGGAAACAACUAUAGGAAGCAGAAACAAAGCAAUAUAAGGAACACUACUCAUAAUAGGAAAUAAUAUCCGGAGAUAUCUUGGUAUCCUCACCACAUACACUAAUGAUCUCUUAGUAUCCCGAGGAUGUCUUGGUAUCCUCAUCAUAUUAACUAGGGAUCUCUUGGUAUCCCGAGAAUCUCUUGGUAUCCUCAUCAUAUUCCUAGGGAUCUCUUGGUAUCUCGAUGAUCUCUUGGUAUCCUCAUCAUAUUCACUAGGGAUCUCUUGGUAUCCUGAGGAUCUCUUGGUAUCCCAUAACUUACAAUUUCAUGUGCCAGAGAUCUCUUGGUAUCCCGCACCAUUAGUCCAAAAUAUAUCAAGUGCAGGGGAUUCUCCUGGGAGGCCAACCCGUAGUCCCAAUUUAAAAAACACAAUAGCAACCCAAACAUUAGAAUAGAUAGUAGACUCAAGACAAGAAAUAGAAAAUCCUAACCAGCAUACUACACGGAGCACAAAUAAGACAAUUUAAGAACUUAGGCAAGUAAGUCAAAUUAACAUGCUUCUCUAAACUAGCAUAGAAUAAACUUGCAAUUGAAACUAAACAGAUAAGCAAGAAAACUCAAUUUAAAUACUUCGAGUAAAAACGAAUUUCCACCAAUUUUCUCAAGUAUGCGCUCGUCACCUCACGUACGAGGCAUUUAAGUACCAAAAAUCAUGUCCUAAGGGGAAGAAGUCCCCCACACAAGCCUAGACAAGCCACUUAACAUGAACCAGCUCAAUAUCAACUAGAAACCACGCCUUUAUCAUGAGUAUCUGACUCCAAAUGGCCCAAUUCUAUUCAUUUCAAUUACAUCUCGUAAAUAACAUCUCAAGCAACUAAUUCCACUAUUUAAAUUCAAAGACAAGACAUAAAUUAGGUAAAAUGACAAAAACACCUCUCAGGCGAAUGUGGUCAAAACCCGAAGUUCAAACUUAAAUAUAGUUACCCAUUCCCCCACGAAUCCAAUUAUGUGAUUAGUUUUGAAAUCACACCUCGGAUUCAGGUCCAACCCCUAAUUUUAGCAAAGUCUUAGGUUCUACCCAAUAUACCCAAAUUUCCCCAUUAAAAUCUUCGAUUUGAUGUUGAAAUUAUGUUAAAGAUGUUAAGGAGUGAAGAAAAUGAGUUAGAAAUAACUUACCAAUCAUUUUGAAGAAGAAUAAUUGCUUAGAAAAUAGCCACUUAGGGUUUUUUUUUUUAAAGUGAGAAAUAACUGAAAAUUCCGUGUAUUUAUACUCUCUGACGCCCCAGUGCAAACCACACAAACAGGACCGCGGUCGCGCUUGAAAACUGGGAAAUUUGCUACCCUCUGAAACCCCCCAGUGCAGACCGUGCAAAAAAAGGAUCGUGGCCGCGUUGGUGGAACUGAAGACUGUUGGUUCUCUAAAGCUUGCCGCGUGGACUGCACGAGGAUGACUGCGGUCGUGCAGCACACACUGCGGACUGUGUUAUGGCAAACACAGCCAUGCAACGCACACCGCAGACCGCGCUAAGGCGACCGUGGGCACGCUGGAGACUGCAUUUUUCCUUACAUGCAAUAUCUGGUGUUUUAAAGUCUAAGACCUCCUGGAACCUACUCGAAACUCACAUAAGCUCUCGGGGCUCCAAACCAAACAUACGCACAACCUUGAGUACACCCUACGAACUCAUCCGCGUGAUCAAAUCGCCAAAUAAUAUCAUAUAUAUCAAAUCAAGCCUCAAAGCUCAUGAUUUCUUCUCAAAUAUUUCAUACGACAUAACAUUCCCAUUCUGGGUGCGAAACACGUCAACCGACGUCCGUUCUCAUCCAAACUUUACAAAAAAUGCUUAAAUUAUAUAUAAGACUUGUACCGAGUACCGAAACCAAAAUACGGGCCCAAUACCCUAGUACUAAUCAAAUUUUGUUUCCAUUUCCCUUCAUUAUUUUCCAGAAAAUAAUUUCACAUAAAAAUUUAUUUCUCAGACUUGGGACGUCGGAAUUCGAUUCCGACUAUACGCUCAAGUCUUAUAUUUUUCCACGGACCCUCCGUGACCAUCGAAUCACAGGUCUGGGUCUGUUUACCAAAACGUUGAUCGAAGUCAAAUUUAUUCAAUUAGUAUCAAAAUUUAGCAGUUUUCUUACAGAAUUUGUAUAUAAGUUUUGUGGUUACGUGUUGGAACCGCGCACAUAAACCGAGACAACCCGAGAGGAAGUUUUAAGGCCUCGAAAGUAAAGAACAAAAAAUAAAUAAGUGAUAACCCCAUUGGGUUGUCACACUUCUUUUUCAUUUGUAGGUUGACUUGGUGGGCAAUUGACCAAGUUUUAAAAUAAAUGGAUAGUCUCUAUUGAACCUAGCAUUACUAAAUAUCGUAAGGAUGACUUUAACCUUACUAGAGUAGGAUAAAUAUACCAUCAUGAAGUGUUUGGCAUGCAGGAAAAUUAUUUUUCCUUAAAAAUGCUUCACUUAGAGAAAUUAAUUUUUGAUGAUUUUCUAGUGUUUGGUAGAGCAUAAAGUAAGUUAUAUGUGAUAAUUGUAUAAUUUGGAGGAUAUGGUUUCCUGAUACUAUUUUGGUGAUAUCUUUUGAAUAUUAAAUACUCAAAACAAUGUCCAUAUAUUGGUUGAAGCAAGUGGCAGGAGUAAUAUUUCAGAUAGUUGUGAAGGAAAAUGACAAGUGACAGAUAUCAUUUUAGUUUCCAUAAUCUAAGUUAACGAAAUGCUGGAAUGGGAAAACAUAUACAAUAUUUUCUAUAGUUAACUUGAGCUAUUUAUGCUGUCUAUGUUUUUAAAUCUUAAUUCAUCUAUUUUCCAAAUUAAUCUAUUAUGUUAUCUAUUUUCUUGAUCGAUCCAACUUGAAACUAAUACAUUAAGCUUCCUGAGCUAUUGAGCUAUCUAUCUACUAAAUCAGUUUAUUGUAUUUUUACUUACAGAUGGAGAAACUGUAAGUUGUUUUCCUCUAUUCACAACCUUGUGUUGAUGGAGGAUUGUUGCAUCCAGCUUCCUAUCCAAUAAGAGAAUAUCAAUCCUGUCUUUAAGGAGAACCUUAAAUGAUUCAUAUUAGUGUGAAAAUUGCAUAUUUAUCAUUAUUUAUAUUUUUUACAUUUUAAUUGGUACAUUGUAUAACUCACUAAUAUACAAUUAAAAGCAUUCUAACCAAGUCAGUGAAGUCCUCAUCAAACUUAUUCACACAUCUAUAUCACUAUCCAAUUAUAAAAAUAUAACGCAAACACUAAUCCAAAAUUGCUACAAGAAUGAGCCUUAGAGCUACAUCUUACCAAUGUAGAAUGCCCGAAAAAGCAGGAACCCCAAACAAGACAACCAAGUUUGACACAUAAGUACCAAGUCCCAACCACAACUACAACCUCAACCAUUGACUUUUAGUCAAUAGGAAGAAAAAAAGAUAUUACCAUAUCCACUCUGCCUUGAACCAAAGCAAAAUCUCAAGCAAGGAAAGAUGAGAGGAAGAAAUAGAAGAAGAUAUAUAAUUGUUGGUACAUACUGACCUUGGUUGUUACUACUAGUAUUGUUACUAUCAGAAGAUGGAUGGUCGACUGUUUAGUUGAACAACAACUUGUUGUGCAGAGGAAUCUUAUACAAGUGAACGUGCAUUGAUCAGAAACAGCCUAGAUUUCAACUUUUAGUUACUGUAGUUCUGCUGUUAAAUUGAAAGCAAAAGAAAAUGGGUUAUUAAACAGGAAUAAAUAGGACAAUAUUAGUUUUUUAAAUAGGAAUAAACAGGAAACUAUCAGCAAGAAUGUAGAUGCUUUACCGAACUAACCCAAGCAGAAUGUAGAUCUUAGAAAAUUACAAAUAAGCAAAAAAUGGGUUGUUGGUCUCCUGAAAAUGCCACUAAAGCUUUUCUCAAAACCAUGGACAUGGAAAUUACAAUUAUGAACUUAUCAUAUCUGAAAUCUGAUAUACAAUUCAAAUAAUAUUUUCUUCUCAAGAUGUUACUAAUGUCAUGUUGAUCUGGUGUAGGGAAAGAGAGCUAUAUUACCAAAUGGAGCAGAGUUCAUUUUCACGCUCGUAGUAGGAAAUAAUGUACAACUUAUGGUAUUUGCUUGUGCAAAUGUUGCAGACUCCACCACCUUGCACUGGUGGCAACAACUCAACAAACAGAAGGUUGAUACAUUACACUUACUACAAGAUACAACUAGUCUUUUAGAUAAUUUCAGUAGAUUGGAAUUGUAAAUACCUAUUUAAUGUAGAACACUUCAGCUUUCAUGGAAAACUACCAAAGAUUCAAAUAUACGCAGAGGAAAAUAAGAAAGAGAGCUGUCAAACAUGAUACUUAUCCGUAUAUUGAAAAAUAGGACACCAAUCUGCACAAAACAAUAUUAAAAUGAAGAGGUAGCAUGAUGAUUUGGCAUAUCACCUAUUCAGUUAUUAGAAUGUUCUUGUCUCUUUGACAUGAUAUACUUUAGAAGAAGCUAAAGGUUUCUCAAUCAAGUAUG